rnacentral:rRNA from 1 species
UACGUAGGGUGCGAGCGUUGUCCGGAAUUAUUGGGCGUAAAGAGCUUGUAGGCGGUUUGUCGCGUCUGCUGUGAAAAUCCGGGGCUCAACCCCGGACUUGCAGUGGGUACGGGCAGACUAGAGUGUGGUAGGGGAGACUGGAAUUCCUGGUGUAGCGGUGGAAUGCGCAGAUAUCAGGAGGAACACCGGUGGCGAAGGCGGGUCUCUGGGCCGAUACUGACACUGGAGGAGCGAAAGCGUGGGGAGCGAACAGGAUUAGACUAC